rnacentral:rRNA from 1 species
GGUUAACGCUGGCGGCGCGCAUAACACAUGCAAGUCGAGCGAGGGCUUAUUUCUCGCAAGAGAGAUGAGUUCCUAGCGGCGAACGGGUGAGUAACACGUGGGCAACCUUUCCUAUCGCGGGGGAUAACACCGGGAAACCGAUGCUAAUACCGCAUGUCGUCACUGGUCGCAUGGCUGGUGAAGAAAGCAGCAAUGCACGAUGGGGUGGGCCCGCGGCCUAUCAGCUAGUCGGUGGGGUAACGGCCUACCGAGGCGAUGACGGGUAGCUGGUCUGAGAGGACGGCCAGCCACACGGGGACUGAGACACGGCCCCGACUCCUACGGGAGGCAGCAGUGAGGAAUCUUCCGCAAUGGGCGAAAGCCUGACGGAGCGACGCCGCGUGUGCGAUGAAGUCCUUCGGGAUGUAAAGCACUGUCGGAGGGGAAGAAAGAAAUGACGGUACCCUCCAAGAAAGCCCCGGCUAACUACGUGC